rnacentral:rRNA from 1 species
UACGUAGGGGGCUAGCGUUGUCCGGAAUCAUUGGGCGUAAAGCGCGUGUAGGCGGUCCGGUAAGUCCGCUGUGAAAGUCGGGGGCUCAACCCUCGAAUGCCGGUGGAUACUGUCGGGCUAGAGUGCGGAAGAGGCGAGUGGAAUUCCUGGUGUAGCGGUGAAAUGCGCAGAUAUCGAGGAGGAACACCAAUUGCGAAGGCAGCUCGCUGGGACGUAACUGACGCUGAGACGCGAAAGCGUGGGAGCAAACAGG